ACUUUGAUGGGGUGUCCGAGAUUCGUUCGGAGUUUGAUACAUGCAAACAAACUAUACAAUUAUACUAAAUUUGAUAUUCCAAAAGCGUCGGUGAUAUCAUAUUUUCAAAAAACAUAGUUUUCACAGAUUUAGCUCCUGAAACUAAUAGCUACUGAAAUUAAUUCUUUAGAAUUCUGAAGUUAGUUUCGAGCUGUGAAAAUUUUCAGGUGAAGUUACCUUCUAAUCUUUUUGGGUUAAGUGAUCUCACUUACAUUGAGGACAAGUAUUAAGGCUUCUCAACUGAAGAUCUAUUAAAUGUAUUGUCUUUUCUUAGGAGCCACCAAGGCCAUUCACACAGGCAUUCUGACACAAAGAUUUGGGGGCAGAAACAGUAGUAGUAAUGUUACAGGUCGAACCCUUCAAGUUGGUCCAUCUAGCAGAGAUCGAGUCGACGAUAUGUAAUCUGAAGCCUGAGUUAUGACAUGUGCUGCGGAUGCUUCUGUUUAUGGCCCUGACUUUUAGCCAAUAAGUAUGGCUCUCGCAUAAUUAAGGUAAAUCACUUAAAAUUGAUUUCAGAUCCAAAAUAGGUGCAACUCCAAUUUGUUUGAUUGCUUCCUAGGUACUGAACAUAGCUCUUCAAAUAUUCAAUGAACUUGGUUCGUUUGCACUAAGAGUAUGGCUUGACCGGUUGAAUGGGGAUCUUGAUCGGAAAAUGAGAUUGUGUGCCAUUGAGCUUAGGCAGAAUUUCACCAGAUUGGGUCCUACAUUUGUUAAAAUCGGUCAGGGUUUAUCCACCAGGUUUGAUUUAUACCCACCCGAGUACGUACCUUGAGGAUCUCUCCGAGCUGCAGGUACUUUCUCUCUCAUUCCUUUCUUCCUUCCUCUAUACUGAAUGUGUCCUAAUAUUUUCUUGUGAAAAUUUCCGCUGAUUUCCAUUAUAAACAAAAUUUUAACUUACUUAGUAGAGUACACUGUGGUGCUGAUAGCUGGGCAGACUAAGAUGGUUUUGCAUGGGUUGAGCAAAAAUGGGUUAAGUAAAACCCAAAUGGCCCAUAUUUCAUACAAGCUGAAAACUCGCAGAUUGAUGCAAGUGUCAAACCACAUUUUCUUAUAAUAUUUUGCCAAAAUCAUUUCGUGCAUUAGAAUCCAUGCUAUUCUUUAUGUCUAACUAUGAAAUAAUGUUGUUAAACACUACUAAUAAAUCUAAGAGGCAAGCAUUUACUUAACAUAACAUUUUGUAAAUCAACUGAUGGUCUUUUGGAAACAAUCUCUCUACUUCAUGGAGAUUGCAAGCUCAUUUUUCAAGAAUUCUUUUUUUCUUGCAUAUCGGUGUUAUCAAAAUCAAAAAGUGCGAAAAAGCUCCAAGGUCCAUUGGGUCUUUAAGCGCAAAUAAAACAUAGGCUUUAAUGAAAAAGGUGCAAAGGGAAAGGAGAUACAAACAUAUAUGUUAAGUCCAAAACUAAUAAUUAUAGGCAUGAAUGACAAAUAAAUUGAAAAAAUAUUAUGAUAAGGUGAAAUAUCAAUUGUUUAGUAUCGCCUUUUCAUAAGUGUCUCAUUUGAAAUGAAAAGUAUGUUGUUGAAUCUUGAUGAAUAUACUGAAGCAUACAUUAAGUGAGGCAAAACAUUCAACACGUUUUAAGCCCCACUUCAAGGCUUAGCGCACUUUUGAUAACCCGGUUGCAUACAUCUUCAAUAUAUCUGACUUGUUGUAUUAGAUAUGAUCUCUACGGUUGGAUUUAGAAACAAAUGGAUGCCCCUGUUUAUUUGAUGCUCUAUAAACUAAAAGGAUAAUUAUGCCUAAAUACAACUGUGGACAGUUACUCGGAGUAUUUCUAGCUUAAUCAAUUGGUUCAGACUGACACUUAUUUAUACAACAACAUCAACAUCAUACCCAGUGUAAUUUCAGUGGUGUUGGUGAGGUUAGAAUGUACAGAGCCCUUAUCCUUACCUCGUGUAACGUACCCUUGCUUGGUGGGUCUUUCAUUAAUCAGUUUUAAAAUAGUUGUGAGCCUGUGAUGAAGAUCUGGAGAUGUUGUUCACUCGAUUCUCUGACAUGAUUAUGCUAUUUCUAGAUUUAACCUUGGUAAGAGGAGAGAGAUGCAAAGAGAAUAAUGUGAUUAUUCUAAGAGAGCUCAGACCUGAUCUAUUAUCAAAUUGGGUCUAAAAUGGUUUUCUAACAUCCAGAUUAUGGUAUACGUUUUCAACCUAUAGUUCACCCAUUUUUAGUAUGGUUUAGUUGGGUUGAGCUCAUAUUUGACCCAAUCCAUGAAUAAUUGCGCGGGUUGGGCGUUUCAUUAGUAAAAGUUGGAAGUUACUCUAACCAUGAUUUGUUUAUCAAGGACAUAACAUCAAGGAAAUGAGGGAGGAGAUAGCCAUAAUAGUCACUAAUAUGAACAAUGAAACGGGAAGAUUCAGAGAUACUGAUACUUUUAAGUGUCAGGUGUCCUUCAUGCUUCGCCGGGGGUCUUUCGGAAACAGCCUUUCUACUUCAUCAGAGGUAGAGGUAGAGGUAUGGACUGCGUACAUCUUACCCCCCCAGACCCCACUAAGUGGGAAUACACUGGGUUUGUUGUUGUUGUGUCCUUCAUGCUUCAUUGAUGCAAUACGUAUCUCAUACUUCCUUAUCAUUUGAUUGCUCUAUUAUAUGAAAGGUUGCAACUCACCCAUCAAAGUCCUUCUUGUAUCGAGGAUGAAGUGUCUUUUGGAGAGCAUCAUAUUUUGUAGGUUUCUCUCCUUUUUUUUUGGUUUAGCACUUGUAUAUGGCCAAGUUGGCCUUGUUAUUAUUAAUGUAAUCUUAUAUUUGUUUUUUUUUUUAAAGGUUGUAGUACACUAGGCAAUGCUUUGAUUACUGAAGUAUUAGUUACUAACUAUUUAUCAUUUCCCUUUGUAUUUUUAUAUCGGGUCCAUUGACUUUCUACUAAAAACCUUGAGAUACAACUUGUUAUCAGCGUAUAGUGUUUCUGACUGAAUUACAAACUGUGAUUGCCCAAAACAAACUUAACUUUUUUAACAAACGAGCAGGAUGCUUUGACAACAUUUCCAGAUGCACAAGCAUUUUCAUGCAUUGAGAAAGAGUUGGGUCCUCCGCUUGAUACCAUCCACUCAGUUAUAUCUGCAUCACCUAUUGUUUCAGCAAGUGUUGGUCAAGUUAAUAAAGCUCAACUCAAGUACUGCAGGGGGUAAACAAAAACUUCAGACUGAGUGGAAAGAUAGAAAGGAAGUACGAUUCUCUAGGAAAAAGCUGUAUGAUGAAAGUAUAUGAUGUUGGGCCCGUGCUAAGAACGGGCCAUAUAAAUAUAGAGAGAGAGAAGGGGAGAGAGGAUACUUCAGAAACUUAAGUAAUUAUGUGUAUAGACUUUAGUGUUAUUUAAAAAUUAAAAGUUAUAAUGGAGGAUCUGUAACUAAAAGUGGAUCAAGAAAUCAAAGAACUUAAUCACACAAAUUGAAAUUCCUUGACUCAAGAACAACAACUAAUUUUUGUGACGAAAAAAGUGAUUAAAUAAUUCUGUAGAGAAAUAAAAAAAGAAAAAGAUAAAAAAAGAUAAAUAAGAGUUAUGAUCAUAGCCUAAGAAAUGUGUUACCUCAUCACUUAUAUGUCUUGUUUUAUUAUAUUUAUAGAUCACUAUAAACACUUGUCAUACCUUCAAAAAUAAAAUAACUCAAAUUCAACCACAUAUUAAUCAAGUUAAAGUUAAUCCGAACAUCGUAAUUAUCACAAAAAACACUCAAAAAAUGACAAUUCAAGUACUUUACUAUUUCAGUUUUAAAUCAUUCAAUUAGGAGAAGCCUUAAACGAAAAUCAAUAACGCAACAUGUUCAAUUAAAAUUAAUGAAAUAGGAAAUAAAGACAAAAGAAAGUAGGAAUAAUUAAUAUUGUAAUUUUAAGCAUUUCUAAUUAAAAGAAAAAAACCUUAGAUACAUAUCUAAAACACAAAGAUCAAUAGCAUAACAUAUCUAACUAAAAUUAAUGAAAUAGGAAAU